UACAGCCAGUGGAAUAUUGACAGAGUUCAAGUAUAACGAUGAAAAGAAACGGUAUCAAGGCAGCAGCAGCGACGCGCAGCUCUUCACAAGACCGCGUCGGAAACGGCUGUUAGCUUGCUCUGUGCCCUAAAUGAUAAUGCUGCCAGCCAUGGUUUUCUUUCUCUCUCCCUGCUAUUAUGGUCGGGUCGCAUUUGAUAGAAGAGCUUUUCCCCAAUUACAGAACGGAUCGGUACUACGAGACGUUCAAUACUGAAAACCCAAGGGGUGAUGUUCGGAUUCGCGUUUAUCGUCGAAGGAAUGAGCGUUACACCGAGGCCUGUACUCUGGAUGGAGCGGGAUCAAUUUGGAGGUGGAGGGUCCGUCAUGGUCUGGGGCGGUGUGUCACAGCAUCAUCGGACUGAGCUUGUUAUCUUUGCAGGCAAUCUCAACACUGUGCAUUAAAGGAAAGACAUCCUCCUCCCUCAUGUGGUACCCUUCCUGCAGGCUCAUCCUGACAUGACCGUCCAGCAUGACAAUGCCACCAACCAUACUGCUCGAUCUGCUCGUGAUUUCCUGCAAGACAGGAAUGUCAGUGUUCUGCCAUGGCCAGCGAAGAGACCGGAUCUCAAUCCCAUUGAGCACGUCUGGGACCUGUUGGAUCGGAGGGUGAGGGCUAGGGCCAUUCCCCCCAGAAAUGUCCGGGAAAUUGCAGGUGCCUUGGUGGAAGAGUGGGGUAACAUCUCACAGCAAGAACUGGCAAAUCUGGUGCAGUCCAUGAGGAGGAGAUGCACUGCAGUACCUAGAAUCUGGUGUGGCCACCAGCAGCAUUGACUUACUUUAGACCCUCACAUUAUUCAAUUUCUGUUAGUCACAUGUCUGUGGAACUUGUUCAGUUUGUGUCUCAGUUGUUGAAUCUUGUUAUGUUCAUACAAAUAUUUACACAUGUUAAGUUUGCUGAAAAUAAACGAGGAUGACAGUGAGAGGACGUUUAUUUUUUUGCUGAGUUUAUAAGUGCUGUUAUUGUGAAGUGGAAACGUCUAGGAGCAACAACAGCUCAGCCGCGAAGUGGUAGGCCACACAGGCAAACAGAACGGGGCUGCCCAGUGCUGAAGCGCCUAGCGCGUAAGAAUCGUCUGUCCUCGGUUGCAACACUCACUACAGAGUUCCAAACUACCUCUGGAAGCAACGUCAGCACAAGAACUGUUUGUCGGCAUCUUCAAGAAAUGGGUUUCCAUGGCCGAGCAGCAGCACACAAGUCUAAGAUCAUCACGCGCAAUGCCAAGCGUCGGCUGGAGUGGUGUAAAGCUCGCCGCCAUUGGACUCUAAAGCAAUGGAAACACGUUCUCUGGAGAAAUGAAUCACGCGUCACCAUCUGACAGUCCAACGGACAAAUCUGGGUUUGGCAGAUGACAGCAGAACACUACCUGCCCCAAUGCAUAGUGCCAACUGUAAAGCUUGGUGGAGGAGGAAUAAUAGUCUGGGACCAUUUUGUAUGGUUCGGGCUAGGCUCCUUAGUUCCAGCUAAGGGAAAUUUUAACGCUAUAGCAUACAAUGACAUUCUAGACGAUUCUGUGCUUCCAACUUUGUGGCAACGGUUUGAGGAAGGCCCUUUCCUGUUUCAGCAUGACAAUGCCCGUGCUCAGUGUGGAUGAACUUGACUAGCCUGCACAGAGCCCUGACCUCAACCCCAUCGAACACCUUUGGGAUGAAUUGGAAUACCGACUGCAAGCCAGGCCUAAUCGCCCAACAUCACUAAUGCUUUUGUGGCUGAAUGGAAGCAAAUCCCCGCAGCAAUGUUCCAAUAUCUAAUGGAAAGCAGGUGUCCUACUUUUGGUCAUGUAGUGUACCUCAACAUCCUUCAUACGUCCUUCAUACUGGACACAGAGACAUAAAUAUGGUAUCCACGAGUUCAACUGACUAUGGGGAAGUAGAUAAAGGGCAUCAUCGUCAAAAUCCCAAAGUAUCCCUUUAAUUUGGUGCCAUAAUCAAGGUCUGUUUUAGAAAGAUAGUGUUCUGACCUGAGUGCCUAUUCUUCUACCUAAUAAAAUAAAUAGGGGAUGGAUAUAGAAUCUGAGAGAGAAUGCCUUUCCCAUUCCAGUCAUGAAGAUUAAUGACGCAGCAGCGUAAUCCUUCACUUCGUCAAUACCAACCUGUCUCUGGGUACAUUAGGUGAAAAAGUGACAUUAUCAAACGUGAAUGAGAUCUUAUUAUAAAGCCAGAGAGUGUCUUACCAGGAUGGCUCUAAAAACCGUUGAGCUGAUUCCAUCUGCCACCUCAAACUCUCCUUUGUCAUUGGGCCUAGUGAAAUUGUAUUCUCUCCCGGAUCCAAACAUUCUAUGAGAGAAGAAAAACAUUCAGAUUGAAAUUAAUUUGUUUUAAUAUCCCUUUUGGAUGUCACUUUAAUUUCUGGUGAUACAAUAGUAUGCUUUAUACCUUCCCAGCAUGGUGUUGGGCUGGGCGGUGAAGAUGGCCGGGUCCACCAGGAAGCGGGUGUUGUCCACUAUCAGAGUGACCCUCUCGGCGGUCCGUAAUGUGCGCGUCCCCUCCUUUGCGUUCUCAUAGACGUAGAGGUGGUCACAGGGACCGUGCACGUGUCCAUGGCCCAGACUCUUACAGUGGGUCUCAGUACUGAAAAGGCUGCUCCUGCUCGCUGCGAUGCAGCUGGGCCCCACGGAGAUUAAGGCCCUGGGGGGCCGAGGACUCGACGACCUGGAGGAAGAACCACCCUCGCACCGCUCACGAUCUGGGAGACAGACAGGCAGAGUACCAUAAUUAAGGUGCCAACACUGCUGUCUCAUCACACUGGAUGAAAAGGGACAUUGUUAACGCUGGUCAAGUAAUUGAAAGCUUUUGCAAGAGUCAAAAUGCUUUCCUUUCAAGACUUUCCUAUUCAACUCUUACUGUAGCAAUUUAAACAUCAUUCAGUUAUAGGCUUAAUUCCCUGAGUGGGUACAGACUGAGUAGGAGUAGUAUGACUACCUGGCUCCGCCUCUGGGUGAGGCUUUAAGGCGAUUUCAACACAAUGAAACCACAUUUCUGAGAGCUCUGAUUCAGUCACUGCUUUUAUGUAGUUAGAAAGGGACUCAAUCUCACAGCUGUACCGGAGGCAUGAGAAAGCACCCUGUGUGGUCUCAAAGCAGUAAUGGAGUACUCACCGCUGUUGUGCUGUCGGGUGGGCGAGGUGACGUUCCUGAUGCAAGGGGUCAGCUGACCCUCUCCCCUCUCGUGGGAGGAGUCUCGGGAGCGGUCGCUAGACCUCCGGCGAUCACUGUCCCUGCAGCGUUCGAGGCCUCCGCUGGCGCCAUGCAGGUUCAUGUUGACCAGGUCGGCCUCUAGUUGAGGGACUGGAACGCGGGGCUGGGCACUGAGAGGAGCACACCACACACAGUCAGACCCACACACACGAGCACGGAGGGGGAAAGGGAGUAUUUUGUAUGCUUCUCUGCAGAGAAGUGGGUAAAAGCCUGCAGUAAACUCAUAUGAACCCUCUGAGAGAAAAAAAAAAUAGCAGCGCUGACUGCUGUAGAAAGACAGCCAAUACAACACUACUGCUUGCUGCCUGCAGUCCUAUACUUUGAGAAACACAUUAGGGAGUGAAAGAACACAUAAAUAGGACUAUUACACCUCUUGGAGUGGCAUUGGUAAAAUAUGAAAUAUUACACUGAUGGAGCAUGAAGUACCAAACACACCUUCUUGAAAUCAUUUUUUAAAAAUAGUUCCACAGGAUAAUAACCCUAUUAUCCAUCGCAAAAGAGCCUAUCUGUAGGGAAACUGGAGAAACUGGCCAUCCCAUUGAGACAGGCAGAGAAGCCGAAAGCAUCCACAAGAGCUGUUAUGUUAUCUGCGGCAGCCACCUUACCUCUGAAAGCUCUCACACUGUCUGGACUGUCUAGUCUGACCAGCGUGCCAUGCAGCAGGUCUCCCUAAUAAAGAGUGCGUCCCUCCCGAGGGAAGUGAUUAUCAAAUAUGAUGAGGCUAAAGUGAAUGGACUGGAGAGCAGCAGCACGAAAGAGGAACUCUCAAAGACGGGAGAGCUCUAGAGAAGCUGCCUUUAUAGCACCUCAAAUGGACGACAUCCAUCCACCUUCUAGCUCACGAUAGAAAUAUUCAACCCAGUCAACCGUUAACAAUGUCUGACUGAGGCGCCACCUCUACUGAUGAAGUCCCAGAGAGUGCGAGAGAUGGCUCACUGACUGAGUAGGAAAAAUCUAAAGUCAUUCCACUACAUGUGGACAACUUCAUUUCAGCAGACAUGUCUUUAAAAAAAAAUGUUAAAGGAUGUGGAAAGAUUGGGCUGAUUGUAAUAUCUUGUUCAUAGUGUUAACACUUAUUGAAACAAAUAAUUGUCUAAAUUUCAACAGCAACUGAAUGGAUGCUAAUGACUGGUCCAGAAACGGGAAGUUGUAAUCACAUUGUAUGCAGGUCAGGGACCGCCAGGCCUGCCCUACAGUACGUGGGUCCCCUGAUCUUUGUGCAGCUUGUCCUCGUUACUACACCUGCAUUGAAUUCUGUACUGCUAUGAGUCUUUCAGCCAUGUAAAUAAAAACAACAAUGAGAGAACUAAA